rnacentral:rRNA from 1 species
UACGUAGGGACCAAGCGUUGUUCGGAUUUACUGGGCGUAAAGGGCGCGUAGGCGGCGUGGUAAGUCACUUGUGAAAUCUCCGAGCUUAACUCGGAACGGUCAAGUGAUACUGCUGUGCUAGAGUGCAGAAAGGGCAAUCGGAAUUCUUGGUGUAGCGGUGAAAUGCGUAGAUAUCUGGAGGAACACCGGUGGCGAAGGCGGCAUCCUGGACCGGUAUUGACACUGAGGCGCGAAAGCCAGGGGAGCAAACGGG